rnacentral:lncRNA from 1 species
UUGAAAUGUCAAAUAGUUAUUUGAAAAUGGUGUAGUGACUUGAAAUGUGAAUAAGUUAUUUGAAAAUUAUUAAGUGUAGUGACUUGAAAAUGGUUUAGUGUAGUUACUUGAAAUUGCAAACUUAUGACUUGAAAACGGUUACUAGUGACUUGAAAAUGGUUAAGUGUAGUUACUUGAAAUGUGAAUUAGUUACUUGAAAGUGUUUAAGUAUAGUGACUUGAAAUGAAUGAUUAAGUGUAGUGACUUGAAAACGGUUAAGUAUAGUUAUUUUAAAUGUGAAGUAGUCACUUGAAAAUGGUUAUGUAUAGUGACUUGAAAUGUUAAUUAAUUAU